rnacentral:rRNA from 1 species
CCAAUAGCGUAUAUUAAAGUUGUUGCAGUUAAAAAGCUCGUAGUUGAAUUUCGGGAUUAGUACGUUGGUCGUGCCUUAGGUACGUACUGGUGUUACUGGUUCCUACCUUCUGACGAACCAUCAUGUCAUUAAUUUGGUGUGGCGGGGAAUCAGGACUGUUACUUUGAAAAAAUUAGAGUGUUUAAAGCAGGCCCGCGCUUGAAUACAUUAGCAUGGAAUAAUGAAAUAGGACGUUGACCCUAUUUUGUUGGUUUCUAGGAUUGACGUAAUGAUUAAUAGGGAUAGUUGGGGGCAUUAGUAUUCAAUUGUCAGAGGUGAAAUUCUUGGAUUUAUUGAAGACUAACUACUGCGAAAGCAUUUGCCAAGGAUGUUUUCAUUAAUCAAGAACGAAAGUUAGGGGAUCGAAGACGAUCAGAUACCGUCGUAGUCUUAACCAUAAACUAUGCCGACUAGGAAUCGGAUGAUGUUAAUUUUUUAAUGACUCAUUCGGCGCCUUACG